CAUUACAUUUUCUUUCUGCAAAUUUUGUAUUUCGUAUUGAAUUAUUAGGUACUGGUGAUCACCUGUAUGACUUUGCAUAGUUAAGGAUCUCAAUAUUUGAGUUACCUUUUAAUUCCUUACAAUCACUCUUACAGGAAGUGGGAUAUCUUGUUGUCUCUAGAAUAGAAAAAGCUGUAGUUGGAAAUAAAACAGUGGUUUGUAAAGCACACUGUUUUAGGAACAACCGUCCCAAAGUGGUAUGAGAUUCUGACAGUCUGUCAGCCUUCAAAUCUAGGAUAAAAAUAUAUUUGUUUAGUCAGUCCAAUAAGUAAAAUUUACAAUGAAUCUACAUUCCUAUUUGUCCUUUGUCUUUUCUUUUUAAACUUGCUAUAUUAUUUUUAAUUUGUGUAAAACAAAAUAGACCAUUUUUUAUUUUGUUCAAUAAUAAUCUGGUACUGACACCAAGGUUUUUGUCUCCGGGUUUAUGGCCUGGAAAUAUUUAAAGCUGCUUUGUGACAAUACUAAUUGUAAAAUGCACAAACUAAUUCAAAUUUGAUUGCUUGAUUAAAACAGUUAUUUAGUAUUGUGAGUGAUUACUGUAGAUACAGAAUUUAAACUUGCUAAAGCCAUCCUGCUUUUUUGUCAUUUUUAUAGAAACACGUAACUAUUCAAUUGGGAGAGUCAGUACCACUGCUGACUCAAUGCAACAGAUGUUGCACCUUGUUCCAUUGUCCUUUUUGUAGUGGUAAUGUUUUUAAGCCCUCCAAACUGUAAAAAUUAAAAAAACAUUUGAAGAGUCAUUUCAAGAAGGCAGUUCUCCAUGAAGUAACAUGACAAAAUGAAUAUCUUCAUGCACAUGGAUACUAAUUAAAAACAAAAAUCUUCCACAGCAGUUGGUUGGGUCAGUGGAUUGUGGAGUAUUCAUGUUGAUGUAUGCUCUGCACCUUGUCUUGGAUGCGCCAUUUGACUUCACAGCUGUAAGCUUUCACUUAUGUAUCUGAUUAUUUGUUAAUAUCUGUUACUG